rnacentral:rRNA from 1 species
AUUGAACGCUGGCGGCAGGCCUAACACAUGCAAGUCGAACGGUAACAGAAAGCAGCUUGCUGCUUUGCUGACGAGUGGCGGACGGGUGAGUAAUGUCUGGGAAACUGCCUGAUGGAGGGGGAUAACUACUGGAAACUGUAGCUAAUACCGCAUAGCGUCGCAAGACCAAAGAGGGGGACCUUCGGGCCUCUUGCCAUCGGAUGUGCCCAGAUGGGAUUAGCUAGUAGGUGGGGUAACGGCUCACCUAGGCGACGAUCCCUAGCUGGUCUGAGAGGAUGACCAGCCACACUGGAACUGAGACACGGUCCAGACUCCUACGGGAGGCAGCAGUGGGGAAUAUUGCACAACGGGCGCAAGCCUGAUGCAGCCAUGCCGCGUGUAUGAAGAAGGCCUUCGGGUUGUAAAGUACUUUCAGCGGGGAGGAAGGGAGUAAAGUUAAUACCUUUACUCAUUGACGUUACCCGCAGAAGAAGCACCGGCUAACUCCGUGCCAGCCGCCGCCGUAA